rnacentral:rRNA from 1 species
CUACGGGGCGCAGCAGGCGCGAAACCUCGCAAUGCGGGAAACCGCGACGGGGGGACCCCCGAAUGGKCGCANCGCCACGGCUUUUCCGGAGUGUAAAAAGCUCCGGGAAUAAGGGCUGGCAAGGCCGGUGGCAGCCGCCGCGGUAAUACCGGCGGCCCGAGUGGUGGCCGCUAUUAUUGGGCCUAAAGCGUCCGUAGCCGGGCCCGUAAGUCCCUGGCGAAAUCCCACGGCUCAACCGUGGGGCUUGCUGGGGAUACUGCGGGCCUUGGGACCGGGAGAGGCGGGGGGUACCCCUGGGGUAGGGGUGAAAUCCUAUAAUCCCAGGGGGACCGCCAGUGGCGAAGGCGCCCCGCUGGAACGGGUCCGACGGUGAGGGACGAAGGCCAGGGGAGCAAACCGGAUUAGAUACCCGGGUAGUCCUGGCUGUAAAGGAUGCGGGCUAGGUGUCGGGUGAGCUUCGAGCUCGCCCGGUGCCGUAGGGAAGCCGUUAAGCCCGCCGCCUGGGGAGUACGGCCGCAAGGCUGAAACUUAAAGGAAUUGGCGGGGGAGCACUACAAGGGGUGGAGCGUGCGGUUUAAUUGGAUUCAACGCCGGGAACCUCACCGGGGG